UACAGAGACAGCAAGCGUUGCUCGGAUUCAUUGGGCGUAAAGGGUGCGUAGGCGGUCGGGUAAGUCUGAUGUGAAAUCUCAUAGCCUAACUGUGAGCGGUCAUUGGAAACUGCCCGGCUCGAGGACUGGAGGGGAGACUGGAAUAGCUGGUGUAGCGGUGAAAUGCGUAGAGAUCAGCUAGAACACCGGUGGCGAAGGCGGGUCUCUGGACAGUUCCUGACGCUGAGGCACGAAAGCCAGGGGAG
rnacentral:rRNA from 1 species